UAACAAGCUAACUUUGUAGAGAAUCAGACUCAGCAGGAGAGCCAUUUGUUUAUGGUUACUAAAAAUCUUCAUAUAUCUGAUGUUGAUAUGUGGUACAUUGACAAUGAUUGUACAAGCCACAUGGCUAGAUAUCGUAGAUUAUUUUCUAGUCUAGAUUCCAGCUGUAGAAACAAAGUGAAACUUGAAAAUGAGAUGAUUAUAGAAGCUCAAAGUAAAG
rnacentral:lncRNA from 1 species